UACGUAGGGGCCAAGCGUUGUCCGGAAUUAUUGGGCGUAAAGAGCUCGUAGGCGGUUUGUCGCGUCUGCUGUGAAAACUCGGGGCUUAACCCCGGGCCUGCAGUGGGUACGGGCAGACUAGAGUGCGGUAGGGGAGACUGGAAUUCCUGGUGUAGCGGUGAAAUGCGCAGAUAUCAGGAGGAACACCGGUGGCGAAGGCGGGUCUCUGGGCCGUAACUGACGCUGAGGAGCGAAAGCGUGGGGAGCGAACAGG
rnacentral:rRNA from 1 species